rnacentral:rRNA from 1 species
AUGACAGGCAACGGCGAAAGCAACCUUUAUAAAAAAACUGACGUUGAAAGGACGAAGGCUUUGUGUCACCAACAGGAUUAGAUACCCAAGCAGUCUUAGCAGACAAUUAUGAAUGCCAUAGAUAAGAAAUCUCUAGAUACUCUAUGGAGUACAUUUGCUUUUCUUUUUUGAUUACCCCAAAAAUUAAAGAGGAUGUAUUUAAAGAUAAUAUUUUGAUAUAUAUAAAUAUUAUCUUAAAUAAAAGGAUAUAUUUUUUGUCUAUAAAUGAAAGUGUAAGCAUUCCACCUCAAGAGUAAUGUGGCAACGCAGAAACUGAAAUCAUUAGACCGUUUCUGAAACCAGUAGUGAAGUAUGUUGUUUAAUUAGAUGGUCCGCAAAAAACCUUACCACAAUUUGUAUAUUAUUAGCUUAAUACAAGAGUUGCACGGCUGUCUUCAGUUAAUGUCGUGAGAUUUUGGUUAACUCCUUUAAAUUAACGUAAACCCUUACUUUAUUUUUUAUUAUAAAGUAGUUCCCCGCUAUAUUGGAUAUGAUAACAGGGACUAAGACAAGUCAUCAUGGCCUGAAUAUUGUGGGCUAUAGACGUGCCAGGGAUAAAAAAA